AUGAAUUGAUUAAUUAUUGUCCAAAUUGAUGUUCUGAACAUAGAAUCACAAGUUGCAGUUCGUACUGACGCAUCCAUCCAUGCAAAGAAGAGAUGAAUCAAGAUGCAGGUUCUAAGAAUGUCAAAAAGGAGAAGAAAAGAAAGUUGCAGGCUCUGGCUGCAUGGUGCAGCUAGAGACGCGUCGCGGAGCAGCAGCCGUACGAGGCCGGCGGCCCUUGCUGCCGAAGACCUGCAUGGAGGCAGCAGCCAUGCGGCUCGAGGACCACCGGAACGACCUGCACAAGCAGGUGAACGGGUCAACGGGAGAGGAACACGCAUAGCUUCCGCACCAUGGAGGAGUUGCUGCUGUCCGAGGCGGCGAAGGGAAGGGUCGGCCCGUCGGCGCCGUGUUGUACGACUCGUCCCUGCAGCCGUCGUCACCAGAGCCGCAGCGGCAGCUUACAUCACGGCAACGCGGCGACCAGCUGCUACAAGCAGCAGCGGCAGCUUACAUCACAGAAACAUGGUGGCCGGCGGCAGAGCACACGCCGGGAUGUAGCCGCCGCGGGAGGGGGAGCGGGACGGAGAGGACUCACCUCGCCGGGAUGUAGUCGCCGCGGACGACCAGGGCCGUCGGUCGUCGAGGACCACCAAGCGCGACGCCGUUGAGUAGCCGCCGUGGUCUCCUGGCGUUGCUGCCGGCCAGAGGAAGGGGAUGAGACGAGCGACCGAGCUCCUCUCCUGUUCCUGGUCAACGAUCUGGGAGCACGGGCAUUCUGG
rnacentral:lncRNA from 1 species